rnacentral:rRNA from 1 species
AAAUUGAAGAGUUUGAUCAUGGCUCAGAUUGAACGCUGGCGGCAGGCCUAACACAUGCAAGUCGAGCGGUAGCACAGAGAGCUUGCUCUCGGGUGACGAGCGGCGGACGGGUGAGUAAUGUCUGGGAAACUGCCUGAUGGAGGGGGAUAACUACUGGAAACGGUAGCUAAUACCGCAUAAUGUCGCAAGACCAAAGUGGGGGACCUUCGGGCCUCAUGCCAUCAGAUGUGCCCAGAUGGGAUUAGCUAGUAGGUGGGGUAACGGCUCACCUAGGCGACGAUCCUAGCUGGUCUGAGAGGAUGACCAGCCACACUGGAACUGAGACACGGUCCAGACUCCUACGGGAGGCAGCAGUGGGGAAUAUUGCACAAUGGGCGCAAGCCUGAUGCAGCCAUGCCGCGUGUGUGAAGAAGGCCUUCGGGUUGUAAAGCACUUUCAGCGGGGAGGAAGGCGGUGAGGUUAAUAACCUCAUCGAUUGACGUUACCCGCAGAAGAAGCACCGGCUAACUCCGUGCCAGCAGCCGCGGUAAUACGGAGGGUGCAAGCGUUAAUCGGAAUUACUGGGCGUAAAGCGCACGCAGGCGGUCUGUCAAGUCGGAUGUGAAAUCCCCGGGCUCAACCUGGGAACUGCAUUCGAAACUGGCAGGCUAGAGUCUUGUAGAGGGGGGUAGAAUUCCAGGUGUAGCGGUGAAAUGCGUAGAGAUCUGGAGGAAUACCGGUGGCGAAGGCGGCCCCCUGGACAAAGACUGACGCUCAGGUGCGAAAGCGUGGGGAGCAAACAGGAUUAGAUACCCUGGUAGUCCACGCCGUAAACGAUGUCGAUUUGGAGGUUGUGCCCUUGAGGCGUGGCUUCCGGAGCUAACGCGUUAAAUCGACCGCCUGGGGAGUACGGCCGCAAGGUUAAAACUCAAAUGAAUUGACGGGGGCCCGCACAAGCGGUGGAGCAUGUGGUUUAAUUCGAUGCAACGCGAAGAACCUUACCUGGUCUUGACAUCCACAGAACUUAGCAGAGAUGCUUUGGUGCCUUCGGGAACUGUGAGACAGGUGCUGCAUGGCUGUCGUCAGCUCGUGUUGUGAAAUGUUGGGUUAAGUCCCGCAACGAGCGCAACCCUUAUCCUUUGUUGCCAGCGGUCCGGCCGGGAACUCAAAGGAGACUGCCAGUGAUAAACUGGAGGAAGGUGGGGAUGACGUCAAGUCAUCAUGGCCCUUACGACCAGGGCUACACACGUGCUACAAUGGCAUAUACAAAGAGAAGCGACCUCGCGAGAGCAAGCGGACCUCAUAAAGUAUGUCGUAGUCCGGAUUGGAGUCUGCAACUCGACUCCAUGAAGUCGGAAUCGCUAGUAAUCGUAGAUCAGAAUGCUACGGUGAAUACGUUCCCGGGCCUUGUACACACCGCCCGUCACACCAUGGGAGUGGGUUGCAAAAGAAGUAGGUAGCUUAACCUUCGGGAGGGCGCUUACCACUUUGUGAUUCAUGACUGGGGUGAAGUCGUAACAAGGUAACCGUAGGGGAACCUGCGGUUGGAUCACCUCCUUACCUUAAAGAA